rnacentral:rRNA from 1 species
AGCUCUUGACAUCCCGAUCGCGGACAGUGGAGACAUUGUCCUUCAGUUAGGCUGGAUCGGUGACAGGUGCUGCAUGGCUGUCGUCAGCUCGUGUCGUGAGAUGUUGGGUUAAGUUCCCGCAACGAGCGCAACCCUCGCCCUUAGUUGCCAGCAUUCAGUUGGGCACUCUAAGGGGACUGCCGGUGAUAAGCCGAGAGGAGGUGGGAUGACGUCAAGUCCUCAUCGG